rnacentral:rRNA from 1 species
AACGAACGCUGGCGGCAUGCCUAACACAUGCAAGUCGAACGAGACCUUCGGGUCUAGUGGCGCACGGGUGCGUAACGCGUGGGAAUCUGCCCUUGGGUUCGGAACAACAGUUGGAAACGACUGCUAAUACCGGAUGAUGACUUCGGUCCAAAGAUUUAUCGCCCAGGGAUGAGCCCGCGUAGGAUUAGCUUGUUGGUGAGGUAAAAGCUCACCAAGGCGACGAUCCUUAGCUGGUCUGAGAGGAUGAUCAGCCACACUGGGACUGAGACACGGCCCAGACUCCUACGGGAGGCAGCAGUGGGGAAUAUUGGACAAUGGGCGAAAGCCUGAUCCAGCAAUGCCGCGUGAGUGAUGAAGGCCUUAGGGUUGUAAAGCUCUUUUACCCGGGAUGAUAAUGACGGUACCGUAAGAAUAAGCACCGGCUAACUACGUGCCAGCAGCCGCAGUAACAC